rnacentral:rRNA from 1 species
UACACUCCUGCGGGAGGCAGCAGUGGGGAAUAUUGCACAAUGGGCGCAAGCCUGAUGCAGCCAUGCCGCGUGUAUGAAGAAGGCCUUCGGGUUGUAAAGUACUUUCAGCGGGGAGGAAGGCGAUAAGGUUAAUAACCUUGUUGAUUGACGUUACCCGCAGAAGAAGCACCGGCUAACUCCGUGCCAGCAGCCGCGGUAAUACGGAGGGUGCAAGCGUUAAUCGGAAUUACUGGGCGUAAAGCGCACGCAGGCGGUCUGUCAAGUCGGAUGUGAAAUCCCCGGGCUCAACCUGGGAACUGCAUUCGAAACUGGCAGGCUAGAGUCUUGUAGAGGGGGGUAGAAUUCCAGGUGUAGCGGUGAAAUGCGUAGAGAUCUGGAGGAAUACCGGUGGCGAAGGCGGCCCCCUGGACAAAGACUGACGCUCAGGUGCGAAAGCGUGGGGAGCAAACAGGAUUAGAUACCCCAGUAGUCCCAUGA